rnacentral:tRNA from 1 species
GGCGACGUGGCCAAGUGGGAAGGCAGAGGUCUGCAAAACCUUUAUUCAGCGGUUCAAAUCCGCUCGUCGCCU